rnacentral:rRNA from 1 species
UACCAGCACCCCGAGUGGUCGGGACGUUUAUUGGGCCUAAAGCAUCCGUAGCCGGUUCUACAAGUCUUCCGUUAAAUCCAGCUGCUUAACAGAUGGGCUGCGGAAGAUACUAUGGAGCUAGGAGGCGGGAGAGGCAAGCGGUACUCGAUGGGUAGGGGUAAAAUCCUUUGAUCCAUUGAAGACCACCAGUGGCGAAGGCGGCUUGCCAGAACGCGCUCGACGGUGAGGGAUGAAAGCUGGGGGAGCAAACCGG